GGUAAUGUGGCCGAGUAGGCAUUAGACUGUAAAUCUAAAGACAGGGGUUUGAGUCCUCUUAUUACC
rnacentral:tRNA from 1 species